UACGGAGGGUGCAAGCGUUUAUCCGGAUUCACUGGGUUUAAAGGGUGCGUAGGUGGGUAAGUAAGUCAGUGGUGAAAUCUCCGGGCUUAACCCGGAGCGGUCAAGUGAUACUGUCGUGCUAGAGUGCGGAAGGGGCUACUGGAAUUCGUCGGUGUAGCGGUGAAAUGCGUAGAUAUCGAGAGGAACACCUGCGGCGAAGGCGGGUAGCUGGGCCGACACUGACGCUGAUGCGCGAAAGCCAGGGGAGCGAACGGG
rnacentral:rRNA from 1 species